GUCAGGAUGGCCGAGCGGUCUAAGGCGCCAGACUCAAGGUUACCUUGCCCACUACAGUGGGUCCGGGCGUUCUGGUCCUCUCUGAGGGCGUGGGUUCGAAUCCCACUUCUGACA
rnacentral:tRNA from 1 species